CCUACGGGGGGCAGCAGUGGGGAAUAUUGGACAAUGGGCGGAAGCCUGAUCCAGCAACGCCGCGUGAGGGAUGACGGCCUUCGGGUUGUAAACCUCUUUCGGUAGGGACGAAGCGUGAGUGACGGUACCUACUAAAGAAGCACCGGCCAACUACGUGCCAGCAGCCGCGGUAAUACGUAGGGUGCGAGCGUUGUCCGGAAUUAUUGGGCGUAAAGGGCUCGUAGGCGGUUUGUCGCGUCGGGAGUGAAAACCAGGUGCUUAACACCUGGCUUGCUUUCGAUACGGGCAGACUAGAGGUAUGCAGGGGAGAACGGAAUUCCUGGUGUAGCGGUGAAAUGCGCAGAUAUCAGGAGGAACACCGGUGGCGAAGGCGGUUCUCUGGGCAUGACCUGACGCUGAGGAGCGAAAGUGUGGGGAGCGAACAGGAUUAGAUACCCCGG
rnacentral:rRNA from 1 species